ACCUUGGUUCAGCCUGGGCUUGGUAGCAUCUCACUCUGCCUGGCUGUCAACAGACCACACAGUGGUGAUGUCUGGUGACCCCACGGCCGUCACACCGGCAGGAACGUCUCUGUUCUCUGAGUGCCUUGAGGCAGCACCCCACAGGGGAGAAGGACCCCCACCCUGGCACCACAUAUUCAGUGAGUACGUGCUGCCGGUGGUCUUACAACCCUCCUCCUCACCCAGCUCAAACGUCACUUCUCCUGGGGAGCCGGCUGAACUCCAUCUCAACGACUCUGUCCCAGGCAGCUAUGGGCCAGGCCUGGCAGUGCCCCCAAGCAGGCUCACCGCCCCCUGGAGCUCCCAGGUGUUCCCAGGAGAUGCUCCUGUAUCCUCCGGUUGCUGCUCGCGUGUGUCUCCUGAGGUCAUGAGUUUCACCUUUAAAUUCUGGAAGAAGAGUCGCUUGCUCCCUGGAUGGUGCCGACACCACUGUGGUUCCGAUAGCAGACUCGUUCUUCUGGCCUCUGAAGUCAUAGUGGAUGUGUCCAGUCCUUAG
rnacentral:lncRNA from 1 species